AUAAACAACGUGCCCUGAAGACUGGGAUAUACGGUCGAAAGGCCGAGCAAUACCGGAUGUGGCCGAGACUAGGCAUCUAGACUCGAUUAAAUGGUUUUUCGCUUCAGGAGCGGUUUAUGACUCAUCAGCUAGUUGGUAGGGUAAUGGCCUACCAAGGCUACGACGGGUAGGGGGUCUGAGAGGACGAUCCGCUCGAGUGGGACUGAGACACGGCC
rnacentral:rRNA from 1 species